AUUGAACGCUGGCGGCAUGCUUUACACAUGCAAGUCGAACGGUAACAGGCCUUCGGGUGCUGACGAGUGGCGCACGGGUGAGUAAUGCAUCGGAACGUACCCAGAGGUGGGGGAUAACGCAGCGAAAGCUGUGCUAAUACCGCAUGUGAUCUGAGGAUGAAAGCGGGGGACCGAGCAGCAAUGUUUGGCCUCGCGCCUUUGGAGCGGCCGAUGUCGGAUUAGCUAGUUGGUGGGGUAAAGGCCUACCAAGGCGACGAUCCGUAGCUGGUCUGAGAGGACGACCGGCCACACUGGGACUGAGACACGGCCCAGACUCCUACGGGAGGGAGCAGUGGGGAAUUUUGGACAAUGGGCGCAAGCCUGAUCCAGCAAUGCCGCGUGCGGGAAGAAGGCCUUCGGGUUGUAAACCGCUUUUGGCAGGAACGAAACGGUGUCCGCUAAUACCGGGCGCUAAUGACGGUACCUGCAGAAUAAGCACCGGCUAACUACGUG
rnacentral:rRNA from 1 species